CCUACGGGUGGCUGCAGUCGAGGAUCUUCGGCAAUGGGCGCAAGCCUGACCGAGCGACGCCGCGUGUGGGAUGAAGGCCUUCGGGUUGUAAACCACUGUCAGUGGGGAGGAAAUUGGUGGGGGUUCUCCCCCAUCAUUGACCUAUCCGCAGAGGAAGGGUGGGCUAAGCUCGUGCCAGCAGCCGCGGUAAGACGAGCCACCCAAACGUUAUUCGGAAUUACUGGGCUUAAAGGGUGCGUAGGCGGUGUCGCAAGUCGGGAGUGAAAUCCCACGGCUCAACCGUGGAAUUGCUUUCGAUACUGCGGUGCUUGAGUAAGACAGAGGUAAGCGGAACUUAGGGUGGAGCGGUGAAAUGCGUUGAUAUCCUAAGGAACACCGGUGGCGAAGGCGGCUUACUGGGUCUUAACUGACGCUGAGGCACGAAAGCCAGGGUAGCAAAC
rnacentral:rRNA from 1 species